CGGGGUGUAGCGCAGCCCGGUAGCGCGCUGUGUUCGGAACGCAGAGGUCGUAGGUUCGAAUCCUGCCACCCCGACUA
rnacentral:tRNA from 1 species